rnacentral:rRNA from 1 species
CAGCCGUAAACAAUGUGCGUUAGGUGUGUCGGUAACCACGUGUUACUGAUGCGCCGAAGAGAAAUCGUGAAACGCACCACCUGGGAAGUACGGUCGCAAGGCUGAAACUUAAAGGAAUUGGCGGGGGAGCACCACAACAGGUGGAGCCUGCGGUUUAAUUGGACUCAACGCCGGAAAUCUCACCGGAUAGGACAGACAUAUGAUAGUCGGGCUGAAGACUCUACUUGAUGAUCUGAGAGGUGGUGCAUGGCGUCAGUGACU